rnacentral:rRNA from 1 species
UACGGAGGAUCCGAGCGUUAUCCGGAUUUAUUGGGUUUAAAGGGUGCGUAGGCGGCCUUUUAAGUCAGCGGUGAAAGUCUGUGGCUCAACCAUAGAAUUGCCGUUGAAACUGGGGGGCUUGAGUAUGUUUGAGGCAGGCGGAAUUCCUAGUGUAGCGGUGAAAUGCGUAGAUAUUAGGAGGAACACCAGUGGCGAAGGCGGCCUGCUGGGCUUUUACUGACGCUGAGGCUCGAAAGCGUGGGUAGCAAACAGG